GACGAACGCUGGCGGCGCGCCUAACACAUGCAAGUCGAACGAGCGAGCGAGAGCUUGCUUUCUUGAGCGAGUGGCGAACGGGUGAGUAACGCGUGAGGAACCUGCCUCAAAGAGGGGGACAACAGUUGGAAACGACUGCUAAUACCGCAUAAGCCCACGGUGCCGCAUGGCACAGAGGGAAAAGGAGCAAUCCGCUUUGAGAUGGCCUCGCGUCCGAUUAGCUAGUUGGUGAGGUAACGGCCCACCAAGGCGACGAUCGGUAGCCGGACUGAGAGGUUGAACGGCCACAUUGGGACUGAGACACGGCCCAGACUCCUACGGGAGGCAGCAGUGGGGAAUAUUGCACGAUGGGGGAAACCCUGAUGCAGCGACGCCGCGUGGAGGAAGAAGGUCUUCGGAUUGUAAACUCCUGUUGUUGGGGAAGAUAAUGACGGUACCCAACAAGGAAGUGACGGCUAACUACGUG
rnacentral:rRNA from 1 species